rnacentral:rRNA from 1 species
GGUCUUGACAUACCGAUGACAGGUCUAGAGAUUAGAUUUUCCCUUUUAGGGCAUCGGAUACAGGUGGUGCAUGGUUGUCGUCAGCUCGUGUCGUGAGAUGUUGGGUUAAGUCCCGCAACGAGCGCAACCCCUAUUGUUAGUUGCCAUCAUUAAGUUGGGCACUCUAGCGAGACUGCCAGUAAUAAACUGGAGGAAGGUGGGGAUGACGUCAAAUCAUCAUGCCCCUUAUGACCUGGGCUACACACGUGCUACAAUGGGAAGUACAACGAGUUGCGAGGCGGUGACGCCAAGCUAAUCUCUUAAAGCUUCUCUCAGUUCGGAUUGUAGGCUGCAACUCGCCUACAUGAAGUCGGAAUCGCUAGUAAUCGCGGAUCAGCACGCCGCGGUGAAUACGUUCCCGGGCCUUGUACACACCGCCCGUCACACCACGAGAGUUUGUAACACCCGAAGUCGGUGAGGUAACCGUAAGGAGCCAACCGCCUAAGGUGGGAUAGAUGAUUGGGGUGAAGUCGUAACAAGGUAGGCGUAGAUGA